AAAUUUACCACUCACUUCAGCAGCUAAAAUUGGAAUGGUACAGAGAUCGUUAGCAUGGUCCCUGUGCAAGGAUGAUGUGCAAAUUUGUGAAGUGUUCCAUAUUUUU